rnacentral:rRNA from 1 species
GGGGAUAACGUCCGGAAACGGACGCUAAUACCGCAUACGUCCUACGGGAGAAAGCAGGGGACCUUCGGGCCUGCGCUAUCGGAUGAGCCUAGGUCGGAUUAGCUAGUUGGUGGGGUAAUGGCUCACCAAGGCGACGAUCCGUAACUGGUCUGAGAGGAUGAUCAGUCACACUGGAACUGAGACACGGUCCAGACUCCUACGGGAGGCAGCAGUGGGGAAUAUUGGACAAUGGGCGAAAGCCUGAUCCAGCCAUGCCGCGUGUGUGAAGAAGGUCUUCGGAUUGUAAAGCACUUUAAGUUGGGAGGAAGGGCAGUAAAUUAAUACUUUGCUGUUUUGACGUUACCGACAGAAUAAGCACCGGCUAACUCUGUGCCAGCAGCCGCGGUAAUACAGAGGGUGCAAGCGUUAAUCGGAAUUACUGGGCGUAAAGCGCGCGUAGGUGGUUCGUUAAGUUGGAUGUGAAAUCCCCGGGCUCAACCUGGGAACUGCAUUCAAAACUGACGAGCUAGAGUAUGGUAGAGGGUGGUGGAAUUUCCUGCGUAGCGGUGAAAUGCGUAGAUAUAGGAAGGAACACCAGUGGCGAAGGCGACCACCUGGACUGAUACUGACACUGAGGUGCGAAAGCGUGGGGAGCAAAC